UAGGGAAUCUUCGGCAAUGGACGAAAGUCUGACCGAGCAACGCCGCGUGAGUGAAGAAGGUUUUCGGAUCGUAAAACUCUGUUGUUAGAGAAGAACAAGGACGUUAGUAACUGAACGUCCCCUGACGGUAUCUAACCAGAAAGCCACGGCUAACUACGUGCCAGCAGCCGCGGUAAUACGUAGGUGGCAAGCGUUGCCCGGAUUUAUAGGGCGUAAAGCGAGCGCAGGCGGUUUCUUAAGUCUGAUGUGAAAGCCCCCGGCUCAACCGGGGACGUUCAUUGGCAACUGAGAGACUUGAGUGCAGAAGAGGAGAGUGGAAUUCCAUGUGUAGCGGUGAAAUGCGUAGAUAUAUGGAGGAACGCCAGUGGCGAAGGCGUCUCUCUGGUCUGUAACUGACGCUGAGGCUCGAAAGCGUGGGGAGCAAACAGG
rnacentral:rRNA from 1 species